CAGAUGAAUGGUGCAGGUGGAGAGUAAGAGUAUGGGCAAGGAGAUGGGAGCUACUGCAGAGACCUGGUGCCCCCCGGGAUGAGUCUCCAGGUUUGGGGUACCUAGAUCCUAACCAUACGUGGGAAACUAAAGCUUCUUGGAUACCCUGUAUCAUCAACUGAGAUGUCCAACCCAACGUAGCCUGGCCCUUUUCCUUAUGCUCCAGAUUUCUCUCUAUGUCCUCCAUAGAAUGUGCUCCAUCCAUUUCCCUCCGGUGAGGAUCAUAGCAUCAGCCCAGUGACAGCACUUUAAUACAACAUGUGAAAAUGAAUGAACAAAGUAAUAUUUUAUUUUGGAGCCAAACUGGAACUAAUGGCAGAUUUUUGUUUUGAGUCUCACACACCGUAAAAUAAAGUUAAUGAAUAAAGUUAAAA
rnacentral:lncRNA from 1 species